GGGAAGGUUGCUCAGUGGUAGAGUGCUUGUCUUGCAUACAUGAGGCCCUGGGUUCGAUUCCUCAGCACCA
rnacentral:tRNA from 1 species